GCCUAUUUAGCUCAAGUGGUUAGAGCAUCCGUUUCAUAAGCGGGAGGUUGCUAGUU
rnacentral:tRNA from 1 species